rnacentral:lncRNA from 1 species
AUGGAAAAGAAAUGCAAAAAAGCAAAAUGGCUGUCUGGGGAGGCCUUACAAAUAGCUGUGAAAAGAAGAGAAGCGAACAGCAAAGAAGAAAAGAAAAGAUAUAAACAUCUGAAUGCAGAGUUCCAAAGAAUAGCAAGGAGAGAUAAGAAUGCCUUCCUCAGCAGUCAAUGCAAAGAAAUAGAGGAAAACAACAGAAUGGGAAAGACUAAAGAUCUCUUCAAGAAAAUUAGAGAUACCAAGGGAACAUUUCAUGCAAAAAUGGGCUCGAUAAAGGACAGAAAUGGUAUGAACCUAACAGAAGCAGAAGAUAUUAAGAAGAGGUGGCAAGAAUACCCAGAAGAACUGUACAAAAAAGAUCUUCAUGGCCCAGAUAAUCACGAUGGUGUGAUCACUCCCCUAGAGCCAGACAUCCUGGAAUGUGAAGUCAAGUGGGCCUUAGAAAGCAUCACCACAAACAAAGCUAGUGGAGGGGAUGGCAUCCCAGUUGAGCCAUUUCAAAUCCUAAAAGAUGAUGCUGUGAAAAUGCUGCACUCAAUAUGCCAGCAAAUGUGGAAAACUCAGCAGUGGCCACAGGACUGGAAAAGGUCAGUUUUCAUUCCAAUCCCAAAGAAAGGCAAUAACAAAAAAUGCUCAAACUACCACAAAAUUGCACUCAUCUCACCUGCUAGUAAAGUAAUGCUCAAAAUUCUCCAAGACAGGCUUCAGCAAUAUGUGAACCGUGAACUUCCAGAUGUUCAAGCUGAUUUUAGAAAAGGCAGAGGAACCAGAGAUCAAAUUGCCAACAUCCGCUGGAUCAUCAAAAAAGCAAGUGAGUUCCAGAAAAACAUCUAUUUCUGCUUUAUUGACUAUGCCAAAGCCUUUGACUGUGUGGAUCACAAUAAACUGCAGAAAAUUCUGAAAGAGAUGGGAAUACCAGACCACCUGACCUUCCUCUUGAGAAACUUAUAUGCAGGUCAGGAAAUAACAGUUAGAACAGGACAUGGAACAACAGACUGGUUCCAAAUAGGAAAAGGAGUACAUCAAAGCUGUAUAUUGUCACCCUGCUUAUUUAACUUAUAUGCAGAGCACAGCAUGAGAAACGUUGGACUGGAAGAAACACAAGCUGGGAUCAAGAUUGACAGGAAAAAUAUCAAUAACCUGAGAUAUGCAAAUGAAGAGGAACUAAAAAGCCUCUUGUUGAAAGUGAAAGAAGAGAGUGAAAAAGUUGGCUUAAAGCUCAACAUUCAGAAAAUGAAGAUCAUGGCAUCUGGUCCCAUCACUUCAUGGGAAAUAGAUGGGGAAACAGUGGAAACAGUGUCAGACUUUAUUUUUUGGGGUUCCAAAAUAACUGCAGAUGGUGAUUGCAGCCAUGGAAUUAAAAGAUGCUUACUCCUUGGAAGAAAAGUUAUGACCAACCUAGAUAGCAUAUUCAAAAGCAGAGACAUUACUUUGCCAACAAAGGUCCAUCUAGUCAAGGCGAUGGUUUUCCCAGUAGUCAUGUAUGGAUGUGAGAGUUGA